GACGAACGCUGGCGGCGUGCUUAACACAUGCAAGUCGAGCGACGCUCUUCCUUCGGGGAGAUGACGGAGCGGCGAACGGGUGAGUAACACGUGGGCAACCUGCCCCUAGCUCUGGGACAACACCGGGAAACCGGUGCUAAUACCGGAUACGACAUCGAGCGGCAUCUCUCGAUGUGGAAAGUUUUUUCGGCUAGGGAUGGGCCCGCGGCCUAUCAGCUUGUUGGUGGGGUAAUGGCCCACCAAGGCGACGACGGGUAGCCGGCCUGAGAGGGCGACCGGCCAAACUGGGACUGGGACACGGCCCAGACUCCUACGGGAGGGAGCAGUGGGGAAUAUUGCGCAAUGGGCGAAAGCCUGACGCAGCGACGCCGCGUGAGGGAUGACGGCCUUCGGGUUGUAAACCUCUUUCAGCAGGGACGAAUUCAGACGGUACCUGCAGAAGAAGCACCGGCCAACUACGUG
rnacentral:rRNA from 1 species